UAAAAAUUUAAAUAUAAAAACUAAGGUAGUAAUAGUUAUGAUCUUGAAACUUAAAAAAUUUGGCGGUAUUUUAGUCUAUUCAGAGGAACUUGUUUUAUAAUCGAUAAUCCACGUUGGACCUUACUUAAAUUAGUUAAUCAGUUUAUAUACCGUCGUUAUAAGAAUAUUUUAAAAGAAUAAUAAUUUUCUAUAAUUUUUAUAAAAUUUAUAUCAGAUCAAGGUGUAGUAUAUGUUUAAGUAAAAAUGAGUUACAAUUUAUUUAUAAUUGGAUUUAAUUAUGAAAAAAUUAAUGAAAUUGGAUUUGAAAGUAAAAUUAUAAAGAUUAAUAAUUUGAUUUUAGCUCUAAAAUAUGC
rnacentral:rRNA from 1 species